AUACGGAGGGUGCAAGCGUUACUCGGAAUCACUGGGCGUAAAGCGCGCGCUGGCGGCUAUUUAAGUUGGAUGUGAAAGCCUAUGGCUCAACCAUAGAACUGCAUCCAAAACUAUUUAGCUAGAGUGUGGGAUAGGAAGAUGGAAUUAGUUGUGUAGGGGUAAAAUCCGUAGAGAUAACUAGGAAUACCAAAAGCGAAGGCAAUCUUCUGGAACACUACUGACGCUGAGACGCGAAAGCGAGGGGAGCGAACAGGAUUAGAAACCCUAGUAGUCC
rnacentral:rRNA from 1 species